rnacentral:rRNA from 1 species
GACUACCCGGGUAUCUAAUCCUGUUUGCUCCCCACACUUUCGCGCCUCAGCGUCAGUUAUGGUCCAGUCACCCGCCUUCGCCACUGGUGUUCCUCCCGAUCUCUACGCAUUUCACCGCUACACCGGGAAUUCCGAUGACCUCUCCCAUACUCAAGCCCCGCAGUUUCAAUAGCACUUCCACCCUUGAAAAAUGGACUUCCACUACUGACUUGCAGGGCCGCCUACGCGCCCUUUACGCCCAAUCAUUCCGGACAACGCUCGCCCCCUACGUAUUACCGCGGCUGCUGGCACGUAGUUAGCCGGGGCUUCCUCCUUGGCUACCGUCUUCUUCUCUUCACCAAGAACAGAGGUUUACAAUCCGAAAACCUUCUUCCCUCACGCGGCGUUGCUGGGUCAGGGUUUCCCCCAUUGCCCAAUAUUCCCCACUGCAGCCCCCCGUAGG